UAGGGAAUCUUCCGCAAUGGGCUAAAGCCUGACGGAGCAACGCCGCGUGAGUGAUGAAGGUCUUCGGAUCGUAAAACUCUGUUAUUAGGGAAGAACAAAUGUGUAAGUAACUAUGCACGUCUUGACGGUACCUAAUCAGAAAGCCACGGCUAACUACGUGCCAGCAGCCGCGGUAAUACGUAGGUGGCAAGCGUUAUCCGGAAUUAUUGGGCGUAAAGCGCGCGUAGGCGGUUUUUUAAGUCUGAUGUGAAAGCCCACGGCUCAACCGUGGAGGGUCAUUGGAAACUGGAAAACUUGAGUGCAGAAGAGGAAAGUGGAGUUCCAUGUGUAGCGGUGAAAUGCGCAGAGAUAUGGGGGAACACCAGUGGCGAAGGCGACUUGCUGGUCUGUAACUGACGCUGAUGUGCGAAAGCGUGGGGAUCAAACAGG
rnacentral:rRNA from 1 species